GGUCACACCACAUACAGGGUAGAUCCUUACAAUAGGCAACAUACAGGGUAGUCCCUUACAGUAGACAACAUACAGGGUAGAUCCUUACAGUAGACAACAUACAGGGUAGAUCCUUACAGUAGAAAAAAUACCAGGUCACACCACGUACAGGGUAGAUCCUUACAGUAGACAACAUACAGGGUAGUUCCUUACAGUAGACAACAUACAGGGUAGUCCCUUACAGUAGACAACAUACAGGGUAGUCCCUUACAGUAGACAACAUACAGGGUAGUCCCUUACAGUAGACAACAUACAGGGUAGAUCCUUAUAGUAGACAACAUACAGGGUGGUCUUACAGUAGACAAAAUACCAGGUCACACCACAGACAGGGUAGAUCCUUACAGUAGACAACAUACAGGGUAGUUCCUUACAGUAGACAAAAUACCAGGUAACACCACAUACAGGGUAGAUCCUUACAGUAGACAAAAUACAGGGUAGAUCCUUACAGUAGACAACAUACCAGGUCACACCACAUACAGGGUAGAUCCUUACAGUAGACAACAUACAGGGUAGCUCCUUACAGUAGACAACAUACCAGGUCACACCACAUACAGGGUGGCUCCUUACAGUAGACAACAUACAGGGUAGAUCCUUACAGUAGACAACAUACAGGGUAGAUCCUUACAGUCUACAACAUACAAGGUCACACCACAUACAGGGUAGAUCCUUACAGUAGACAACAUACAGUGUAGCUCCUUACAGUAGACAACAUACCAGGUCACACCACAUACAGGGUAGAUCCUUACAGUAGACAACAUACAGGGUAGAUCCUUACAGUAGACAACAUACCAGGUCACACCACAUACAGGGUAGCUCCUUACAGUAGACAACAUACAGGGUAGCUCCUUACAGUAGACAACAUACCAGGUCACACCACAUACAGGGUAGAUCCUUACAGUAGACAACAUACAGGGUAGAUCCUUACAGUAGACAACAUACCAGGUCACACCACAUACAGGGUAGAUCCUUACAGUAGACAACAUACAGGGUAGUUCCUUACAGUAGACAACAUACAGGGUAGUUCCUUACAGUAGACAAAGUACCAGGUCACACCACAUACAGGGUAGAUCCUUACAGUGGACAAAAUACAGGGUAGAUCCUUACAGUAGACAACAUACAGGGUAGUCCCUUACAGUAGACAACAUACAGUGUAGCUCCUUACAGUAGACAACAUACAGGGUAGAUCCUUACAGUAGACAACAUACAGGGAAGAUCCUUACAGUAGACAACAUACAGGGUAGAUCCUUACAGUAGACAACAUACAGUGUAGCUCCUUACAGUAGACAACAUACAGGGUAGAUCCUUACAGUAGACAACAUACAGGGUAGAUCCUCACAGUAGACAACAUACAGUGUAGCUCCUUACAGUAGACAACAUACAGGGUAGAUCCUCACAGUAGACAACAUACAGUGUAGCUCCUUACAGUAGACAACAUACAGGGUAGAUCCUCACAGUAGACAACAUACAGUGUAGCUCCUUACAGUAGACAACAUACCAGUGGACAACAUACAGGGUAGAUCCUUCCAGUAGACAACAUUCAGGGUAGAUCCUUACAGUAGACAACAUACAGGGUAGAUCCUUACAGUAGACAACAUACCAGGUCACACCACAUACAGGGUAGCUCCUUACAGUAGACAAUAUACAGGGUAGAUCCUUACAGUAGACAACAUACAGGGUAGAUCCUUACAGUCUACAACAUACAAGGUCACACCACAUACAGGGUAGAUCCUUACAGUAGACAACAUACAGGGUAGAUCCUUACAGUAGACAACAUACAGGGUAGAUCCUUACAGUAGACAACAUACAGGGUAGAUCCUUCCAGUAGACAACAUACAGGGUAGAUCCUUACAGUCUACAACAUACAAGGUCACACCACAUACAGGGUAGAUCCUUACAGUAGACAACAUACAGGGUAGUUCCUUACAGUAGACAACAUACAGGGUAGUUCCUUACAGUAGACAAAGUACCAGGUCACACCACAUACAGGGUAGAUCCUUACAGUGGACAAAAUACAGGGUAGAUCCUUACAGUAGACAACAUACAGAGUAGUCCCUUACAGUAGACAACAUACAGUGUAGCUCCUUACAGUAGACAACAUACAGGGUAGAUCCUUACAGUAGACAACAUACAGGGUAGAUCCUUACAGUAGACAACAUACAGGGUAGAUCCUUACAGUAGACAACAUACAGUGUAGCUCCUUACAGUAGACAACAUACAGGGUAGAUCCUUACAGUAGACAACAUACAGGGAAGAUCCUCACAGUAGACAACAUACAGUGUAGCUCCUUACAGUAGACAACAUACAGGGUAGAUCCUCACAGUAGACAACAUACAGUGUAGCUCCUUACAGUAGACAACAUACAGGGUAGAUCCUCACAGUAGACAACAUACAGUGUAGCUCCUUACAGUAGACAACAUACCAGUGGACAACAUACAGGGUAGAUCCUUCCAGUAGACAACAUUCAGGGUAGAUCCUUCCAGUAGACAACAUUCAGGGUAGAUCCUUACAGUAGACAACAUACCAGGUCACACCACAUACAGGGUAGCUCCUUACAGUAGACAACAUACAGGGUAGAUCCUUACAGUAGACAACAUACCAGGUCACACCACAUACAGGGUAGCUCCUUACAGUAGACAAUAUACAGGGUAGAUCCUUACAGUAGACAACAUACAGGGUAGAUCCUUACAGUCUACAACAUACAAGGUCACACCACAUACAGGGUAGAUCCUUACAGUAGACAACAUACAGGGUAGAUCCUUACAGUAGACAACAUACAGGGUAGAUCCUUACAGUAGACAACAUACAGGGUCACACCACAUAC